UACGUAGGGUGCAAGCGUUGUCCGGAAUUAUUGGGCGUAAAGAGCUCGUAGGCGGCUUGUCGCGUCGACUGUGAAAUCCCGAGGCUCAACUUCGGGCUUGCAGUCGAUACGGGCAGGCUAGAGUUCGGUAGGGGAGACUGGAAUUCCUGGUGUAGCGGUGAAAUGCGCAGAUAUCAGGAGGAACACCGGUGGCGAAGGCGGGUCUCUGGGCCGAUACUGACGCUGAGGAGCGAAAGCGUGGGGAGCGAACAGG
rnacentral:rRNA from 1 species